CCUACGGGAGGCAGCAGUGAGGAAUAUUGGACAAUGGGCGCAAGCCUGAUCCAGCCAUGCCGCGUGCAGGAUGACGGUCCUAUGGAUUGUAAACUGCUUUUAUACAGGAAGAAACACCUCUACGAGUAGAGACUUGACGGUACUGUAAGAAUAAGGAUCGGCUAACUCCGUGCCAGCAGCCGCGGUAAUACGGAGGAUCCAAGCGUUAUCCGGAAUCAUUGGGUUUAAAGGGUCCGUAGGCGGUUUAGUAAGUCAGUGGUGAAAGCCCAUCGCUCAACGGUGGAACGGCCAUUGAUACUGCUAGACUUGAAUUAUUAGGAAGUAACUAGAAUAUGUAGUGUAGCGGUGAAAUGCUUAGAGAUUACAUGGAAUACCAAUUGCGAAGGCAGGUUACUACUAAAUUGAUUGACGCUGAUGGACGAAAGCGUGGGUAGCGAACAGGAUUAGAUACCCUGGUAGUCCACGCCGUAAACGAUGGAUACUAGCUGUUGGGAGCAAUCUCAGUGGCUAAGCGAAAGUGAUAAGUAUCCCACCUGGGGAGUACGAACGCAAGUUUGAAACUGAAAGAAUUGACG
rnacentral:rRNA from 1 species